rnacentral:rRNA from 1 species
UUCCUACGGGAGGCAGCAGUGGGGAAUAUUGCGCAAUGGGCGAAAGCCUGACGCAGCAACGCCGCGUGAGGGAUGACGGCUUUCGGGUUGUAAACCUCUUUCAGUGAUGACGAAAAUGACGGUAGUCACAGAAGAAGGUCCGGCCAACUACGUGCCAGCAGCCGCGGUAACACGUAGGGACCAAGCGUUGUCCGGAUUUAUUGGGCGUAAAGAGCUCGUAGGCUGUUGCGUAAGUCGGAUGUGAAAACUCAGGGCUCAACCCUGAGACGCCAUCCGAUACUGCGCUGACUAGAGUCCGGUAGGGGAGCAUGGAAUUCCUGGUGUAGCGGUGAAAUGCGCAGAUAUCAGGAGGAACACCAGUGGCGAAGGCGGUGCUCUGGGCCGGAACUGACGCUGAGGAGUGAAAGCAUGGGGAGCGAACAGGAUUAGAUACCCUGGUAGUCCAUGCCGUAAACGUUGGGCACUAGGUGUGGGGUCUUCUUAACGGAUUCCGUGCCGUAGCUAACGCAUUAAGUGCCCCGCCUGGGGAGUACGGCCGCAAGGCUAAAACUCAAAGGAAUUGACGGAA